UGAAGAGUGAAGCUUCCUGUCGCGUGGAUGUGAAUCCUGUGUGGCCAGUGCCAUCCACCGAAAUCUACAGACAUCUUGCGUGCUCCCGGGCUCUCUGCUCCUCUGUCCAGUGCGGGGUUCCAAGGCCCGUAGGCUGUGCAGCCUUCCUGGAGACCGAUGGAAGCUCCCUGGGUCGACAGAUUACAACUUCUGCACCCCCUCGGGUCCCCUACUCUCUUCAACUCCCUGGUGGGUGCCCGUUGUCCCUGGAGAGGAUACUUGGAAAUAACAGCUUGGGUACACAGCGACCAUAAGAGGUAUCUCCAUCCUGCCAGACUGAUGGACCAUGUUGCUCCUUAGUGAGGAUUGUCCCCUGGCAUCUGGAGCUCGGUAUCCCGCAAGAAUAUGUGCAGUUUCCCGGAUUGCCUUUGGGAGUGUGUGAAGCCAGGUCUGUGCCCUGUGCCACCAGAGGACAGCACCUGCCAGCGAGCCAUGGCCCUGAUGCGCCUUUGAGCGGCCUGCACAACAGAGCAUUGGGCUUGUCUCCAGAGCGCUCCAGGAAUGUCAGCUGAUCUUUGCUGUCUAUGUCAGCACUCCUCGCAUUGCAAGAAGUGACUGGAACAGGGGCCUUGCCAGGUAUGAAUCUGAGAUACUUCAGGGGAGCAGCAGUGGUCCAGGAAAUGCCUCAAUCAUGAGGAAAAGCAGAGGCUGCUCCCUAUUGCUGCUUCCCCGCCCAGGCCAGCAGGGAUAUGCCUCCCCCCUGCCACCUCACUUCUGUACAUCUUUGUGGUGUGAAAUGGGAGCCACUGCGGUCACAGUUCAUCAGGGGGUGCAAGCAAAAGUUCUCUAAACUUGGGUGGGACGCUUGUUAGGAAGCAGUCCCAUCCCAGACCUCCUGACCUAGUGAGUUCUCAGAAGUACCCCCCGUGUGUCCAUUGCUUCAUUCUCUUUAGUAGGAGACCACUGAAGUAAUGGUUCUCAGGUUGGUUCCUGAAGCAAGCACUGCCACCAUCACCUUGGAGCACAGAAGAGAUCAUAUCUGGAGGCAGCAUUUAGCAGGCUCUCCAGAGGAUUCCUGCACAGCUUGGGGAAUUAGGAAGCUACUUCAGUCAGGGGCUGUUACUAUGGUCACUGUCUCCUGGCCAGGUAUCCUGACUUGGCCCUUUCCUAAGCUGCCCCUGUAUUCGAAAGUGAUCGUGGGCUGCCUGUGCCCUGGUCAUUGAUACUGCAGGGAGAGGAUGCGGAAAGCCUUUCCCCGUGUUUGGAGGAUCCACACUGUCCUUGCCAAACCCUGGUGCUUUCGAACAAAUCUUCCUUCUCCCAGCCUUUUGUUCUCCUGGCUGUUGACACCAGGCUUGCUGAGUGCCUUCUGCCGGUGCUGAGCAGUGUCCACAAAGGCUUAUGGAAGGGAGUUAGAAGCGGGGCUCCACCUUGAGGGGUUUUUAUUCUGGCCCAGUUUUGCGAGUAUCCUGUGAGCGCCUGGCCACAUCCUCUUCCAUGGCUGCAGAAUAGAGCCCUCCAUGAGCCUGUGUGGUGGAAGGCUGCCGUUCCCACACUGCUGUGUUGAGAGAUGGGUAAACACGGGCAGCGGGACUCUGGCCCCUCUGAGCCUGUCUAGCCGUGACCUGCUUUCAGCCUCCAAUUGGCUAACAGUGAGAGGCUCUGGUUAUGUAGGUGAAGAUCCAAAGCAUUGUUCUCUUUUUUUAUUUUAAUUCUUUAGGUGUUUGUGGACCCCAGAGGACCAGGGAGUGGACAGAAGGACCACCACUCAGUGAAACUGGGGACUGCCCACUCACAGCAUCCUGAAACAGCCUUUUUUUUAUUAUGUUUGCAAGCGACACUAACAAACACCUCAGAGGGCUAUGUCCUGUCCCCGUGUCCAUCUGAAGUGCCUGACUGACAAGAGCUUUUCUUGUUGCCCAACUUUUCCUGUUACUCUUUCCCCGCCACCCCCAUCACACAUACA